rnacentral:rRNA from 1 species
AGCGUAGGCGGGCUCUUAAGUUGGAUGUUUAAAACCGGGGCCUAACCCCGGCGUGGCAUCCAAAACUGGGAGUCUUGAAUGGGACAGAGGCCAGUGGAAUUAGAGGUGUAGCGGUGGAAUGCGUAGAGAUCUCUAAGAACACCAGUUGCGAAGGCGGCUGGCUGGGUCCACAUUGACGCUGAGGCUCGAAAGCGUGGGGGAGAAACA